GCCUGGCUGGCUCAGUUGGUAGAGCAUGCCACUUUUGAUCUGAGUUGUGAGUUCAAGCCUCAUGUUAGGUG
rnacentral:tRNA from 1 species